ACCCUCUCACGCAUACAACCCUCUCUCUCUCUCUCUCUCUCUCUCUCUCUCUCGUAUCUCUGCAUUUUCAUAGCUACUCUGCCCAUUGAAUCGCAUCCAUCAUCAGUUGCAUAACAAAUUUUCCCUCACUUUCCCUCAUUUUCCUCUAUUUUCUCUUCCUCCAAUCGCCUCCUCUUCUCUAAAGAGAAGGAAACAAGGGAAUAGGAUGUUUUAUUUUUUAAAGAUCUAGGGUUGCUUAGCCUUCUGGACCUCCAAAUCUGAUUUGUCUUAAUCCAAUAUUCUACAUGCGUAUAUUAAUUUAAGCACCAUAGUUCUAUUGAAAAGCGGAAAUUUAGAGCUCGUAGUUUUGAAUCUAGGUUCAGCAAUCUUUAAUUUUCCCCUGAUUCGAUUUGAUAUAAAUUAUGGAUACGAGUCCUGUUGCUGUUGGCGAUGUAGCGAUGUUGGACGCAGAGUUGUUGCAGCUGCCGGAGGUGGCUCCCUUGGCAUUCAAAUCGUACCCAGACUUUGCGCAGAAGCUCUUCGAGCAGUGGCUUGCGCUCCCUGACGCUAACCGGCUGGUGACAUCAUUGCUUAAUGAUGCAAAGGCAGGUGCUCCCUUGAAUGUCUCGGGAAACUCUUCUAGUGCAACUGCUACCCCAAGCAGCUCUUUACCUUCCAUGUUUCCUGGAGGAAGCACUCCGCCUCUUUCUCCCAGGAGUUCGUCUGGUUCCCCCCGUAUAAUGAAACAGAGAGCUGGCCCUUCUAAUUUGGGUUCUCCUCUAAAAGUGCUUAGUGAGCCUGUGAAGGAGUUGAUACCUCAGUUUUACUUUAAAAAUGGCCGUCCACCUCCAAAUGAACUUAAGGAGCAAUGUUUGCUUCGGAUCAGUCACUUUUUCUAUGGUCGCUUAGAUGGGCUGCAGUUGCAUGAAUUCAAAUCCGUCACCAAGGAAAUCUGCAAGUUGCCUUCAUUCUUCUCCACAGCCCUUUUCAGAAAGAUUGAUGUUAAUGGCACCGGUUUUGUGACAAGGGAUGCCUUUGUUAAUUAUUGGCUAAAUGGUAACAUGCUGACAAUGGAUAUGGCAACUCAAAUUUUUAAAAUUCUAAAGCAACCAGAUCUUAAUUACCUCACUCAGGAAGACUUCAAACCUGUGCUUCGAGAACUACUGGCAACUCAUCCAGGGUUAGAGUUCCUACAGAGCACACCAGAGUUUCAGGAAAGAUAUGCUGAAACUGUAAUAUACAGAAUAUUUUACUACAUAAAUAGAUCUGGGAAUGGUCAUCUUACCCUUAGGGAGCUUAAACGUGGAAACUUGAUUGAUGCAAUGCAGCAUGCAGACGAAGAAGAGGACAUAAAUAAAGUUUUGAGGUACUUCUCUUAUGAACAUUUUUAUGUGAUUUACUGCAAGUUUUGGGAACUGGACACGGACCAUGAUUUUCUGAUCGACAAAGAGAACCUGAUCAGAUAUGGUAACCAUGCACUUACCUACCGGAUUGUUGAUAGAAUAUUUUCCCAGGUUCCUAGAAAGUUUAUUAGUAAGGUUGAAGGGAAGAUGGGAUAUGAAGAUUUUGUCUACUUCAUACUAUCAGAGGAGGAUAAGUCGGCUGAACCUAGUCUUGAGUACUGGUUCAAGUGCAUAGAUUUGGAUGGAAAUGGAAUUUUGACAAGAAAUGAAAUGCAAUUCUUUUAUGAAGAGCAGUUGCAUCGAAUGGAGUGCAUGGCCCAAGAGCCUGUGCUGUUUGAAGAUAUAUUGUGCCAGAUAAUUGACAUGAUUGGACCGGAGAAUGAGAGCUACAUCACAUUACAUGACCUGAAAGGUUGUAAACUUUCAGGAAGUGUUUUUAAUAUCCUUUUCAACCUUAAUAAGUUUAUGGCCUUCGAAAGUCGUGAUCCAUUUCUGAUUCGUCAGGAGCGUGAGAAUCCAACACUGACAGAGUGGGAUCGCUUUGCGCAUAGGGAAUAUAUUAGGCUUUCAAUGGAGGAAGAUGUUGAAGAUGCCUCUAAUGGAAGUGCAGAAGUCUGGGAUGAAUCUCUUGAGGCUCCAUUUUGAGGUUAUUUAGGUAAGUCACUGUGAUUCAUACAGCGGUUUCAUUGGUGGCAUGAUAUUUCACGAGUUUCUGCUGCCCUCUGUUUCUUCUGCAUCCACAAAAUCUUCUAUGGAGAUCUGAGGCAAGGGAACACUAAACGCAAAGGAUCAUUCUUUCAAUGGCAUGUGGCUGCUGUGAACUUUUUAAGGGGAGGUCCAAGCUUGGUAGGGUGGGAUUUGGGAAUGUAUCUUUCCGAUUGCCAGCAGAGAAAUUAUUAAGCGUUUGUUGUGUGAGUAUUGAUAAAACAAUGAGGAACAUUACAAUGGAAAUGCUGGUUCAUGAUGCUAAAGUUACUGGAAAGAAGAGGUAAUUUAUCCAGAGGUGAGAUUUUGAUUGUCCAGGCUGAAGUAGCUCAUAACAUGUGCAUUUUUUAUUUAUCAAUUUGUAAGAUAUAAUUUAUUGUCAAGGGCUUUACCCCCUUUUGAUUUAGCAGUUGGUUCUUUUGAUACUUUUUGCCUAUUAGGUAGCAUCUUGGGUGUUGGUUAGGCGUUGUUAUCAAUUUUUUGGAUCGCCAUAUAUCUAUUACUAGUUUCUUAGGGUCUCCUUCCCCAUUUGAUGUAUACAAAAUAUUUACCAUUUUGUUGUCAAUGGAAAACAUCUAAGGAAAUUUCUAUUUCAAAAA